rnacentral:tRNA from 1 species
GGGCGCAUGGCUCAGUGGCUAGAGUGCUUGCUUCACACUCAAUAGAUCGUCCGUUCAAGUCGGAUUGCGCCCA